GUUAAGCGAGAGCCCUGGGAACCAGAUGCGAAAGAGUAGCGGAAAAUAUAAUUUCAAAACAAUCUAAAAUGUCUAUUAUGAUUGAUGAAUCUACUACUAUUAAUGGGAAAACUGUUCUAGUAGUCUGCUUGAGAGCAGCAGUUGGUGAAUAUUCCCAACCUAUAUCAUUCUAUUUUGACUUAGAACAUAUGAAACUUGAUCAAACACAAAGU